CCUACGGGUGGCAGCAGUGGGGAAUAUUGGACAAUGGGCGAAAGCCUGAUCCAGCCAUGCCGCGUGAGUGAAGAAGGCCUUAGGGUUGUAAAGCUCUUUCACCGGUGAAGAUAAUGACGGUAACCGGAGAAGAAGCCCCGGCUGACUCCGUGCCAGCAGCCGCGGUAGUACGAAGAGGGCUAGCGCUGCUCGGAAUGACUGGGCGUAAAGGGCGCGUAGGCGGUUUAUGCAGUCAGAUGUGAAAUCCCCGGGCUUAACCUGGGAACUGCAUUUGAGACGCAUAGACUAGAGGUCGAGAGAGGGUUGUGGAAUUCCCAGUGUAGAGGUGAAAUUCGUAGAUAUUGGGAAGAACACCGGUGGCGAAGGCGGCAACCUGGCUCGAUACUGACGCUGAGGCGCGAAAGCGUGGGGAGCAAACAGGAUUAGAUACCCUGGUAGUC
rnacentral:rRNA from 1 species